rnacentral:rRNA from 1 species
CCUACGGGAGGCAGCAGUAGGGAAUCUUCCACAAUGGGCGAAAGCCUGAUGGAGCAACGCCGCGUGGGUGAAGAAGGUCUUCGGAUCGUAAAACCCUGUUGUUAGAGAAGAAAGUGCGUGAGAGUAACUGUUCACGUUUCGACGGUAUCUAACCAGAAAGCCACGGCUAACUACGUGCCAGCAGCCGCGGUAAUACGUAGGUGGCAAGCGUUAUCCGGAUUUAUUGGGCGUAAAGGGAACGCAGGCGGUCUUUUAAGGCUGAUGUGAAAGCUUUCGGCUUAACCGGAGUAGUGCAUUGGAAACUGGGAGACUUGAGUUCAGAAGAGGAGAGUGGAACUCCAUGUGUAGCGGUGAAAUGCGUAGAUAUAUGGAAGAACACCAGUGGCGAAAGCGGCUCUCUGGUCUGUAACUGACGCUGAGGUUCGAAAGCGUGGGUAGCAAACAGGAUUAGAUACCCGGGUAGUC